CAAAUAAAAUUUUAAUGAUUGAAAAACACAAAAACGCCAACAUCUGGUUCGUUGAUCGUAUACCAACUUACACACUAACGAAAAAAGAUGAUGAAAAAGACGGACAGAAGAGAAAUGGAAAAUCGAAGUAAUAAAUUCACUCGUUUGCACAAAUAAAUUUCAAUAAAUCGUGGGCACUACAGUUGAUCACACUUCGAUCAGAUCAAAGUUGAUAAAAAGCGUUGAUUUGACAAAACGAAUCAUGUUCACUCUUAAGAUUGUCAUUAUUUGCUGUGUUCUACUUUAUACAAUGGACACGAUCGCCGGUCGACCAGUUUCGAGUAAAGAAAGUAACGAAAGUAAAGAAAACGCUUCUGAAGACGUCGAAUCGGAUGACGAGCAACAAAAAUUCUACGAAGUGGAUGCUUUCGGUGACGAUUAUCUGGAUUUCGGUGCGAUAACUGGACCGAAAGGAGCAUUCUCGUGGCACGCAAAUUAUCCACUGGAGAAGUGAAUCGUGAUCGUUAAGUGGAAAAAGAGCUGCAUCGGUUGGACCGACCCAUAUCAUUAUAUUUUGAACAACAGACUCGCAAUGGAUUCUUCUUUCGUAUAAUAAUCGAAAAUAGAUGUGGACAUUAAAUACACAGUGCACAACGAUCAAUGACAACAAUAAACAACUCACCUCUUGGAAUGCGGAAUUUAAUGCUUGGUCGCCGAUCGUUCGUUUUCCAUUCUUCUUGCAUCUACCUACAUCCUACAGUCACACUACAAGUGUUACAAAAAAAAUUAAUUUGUUUUUCUCUUACAUUGUUGUUUUAUUGUUACCUAAAUUCUUGUUAAAAUACACAAUUGUUUUUUUCUUGUUAAAAAUAAAAAUCGGCGCAAAAUUCGGUUUUACAUUUUGGGGGGGAAUUUUCAGUUGUGUUUGAAGUGUGUACAUAACAAUCAUUUAUGUUUUGUAUUUUAUUUAGAAUUUUUACGGAAAUUGUUUAUCGUUCAAAUCAUUCACUUCAACCAACUGAUGCAACAUUAUCUUUUGUUUCCAUUUUUUUAUGUAGAUUUGUUUACGUUUCUUUCAAAGGAAAAAAAACUUCUCGGGCAUUUAAAGUUUAUGAUGUGAAAAACGAGGAAAGAAGAAAAAAGGAAGAUCAGUCCACACCAAAGUGAGUAUCGCAACGGGGACUAUUCGAUCUUGAAUUAUUCGAACAAAAUAUUAGUUUCGCUUUCAAAUCCAC